rnacentral:rRNA from 1 species
GUGCCAGCCGCCGCGGUAAUACGUAGGGUGCGAGCGUUAAUCGGAAUUACUGGGCGUAAAGCGUGCGCAGGCGGUUUUGUAAGACAGGCGUGAAAUCCCCGGGCUCAACCUGGGAACUGCGCUUGUGACUGCAAGGCUAGAGUAUGGCAGAGGGGGGUGGAAUUCCACGUGUAGCAGUGAAAUGCGUAGAGAUGUGGAGGAACACCAAUGGCGAAGGCAGCCCCCUGGGCCAAUACUGACGCUCAUGCACGAAAGCGUGGGUAGCAAACAGGAUUAGAUACCCGCGUAGUCC